GCCAUUUGGCGGGAGAUUUCCCAUUUCUGUUUCUGAAUGACUUGGGCAAAUCUUUAGCUCUCCCAGUCACACUUUACUCAUUCCUUCUCCCUCUGAAAAUCUCCAUUCUCAGUUCAAUUUCUUUUCCCCUUUUACCCAAACCCUAGCUCAUGGACGACACACCCCCAGAUCCCGAAUCAUCCCGUGCCCGGCCUAAGAGAGGUAGGCCUCGCAUUCACAACCAAGAAACAAGUGAUGAAGGCCCCAAUCAGGCGGAGCGAGAGGUAUCUCCCGACGAUUUCGGUGAGGUUCGUCCUAAAGCUAAACGGAGCCGAGAUUCAGAAGCGCAAAAGUCCGACCAAAGCUUGAUUGAGGGUAUCAAAGGUAGUGGGAAGCAGAUUCCCCAAAUGGUGAAGCUUUGGGUUGAGCACUAUGAAAAGGAUCCAAAACUUGCAAUUGUUGAACUCUUGACCAUGCUGUUUGAGGCAUGUGGAGCUAAAUUUUAUAUCAAGGAAGAGUUGCUUGAUGAGACUGAUGUUGAUGAUGUUGUCGUUGCUCUUGUCAAUCUUGCCAGAAAAGGGGAAGUUGAAGAUUAUCAAAGCUCAAAGAGGAAGGAUUUCAAGAACUUCAAAGAGAACCUUGUCUCAUUUUGGGACAAUAUGGUAGUUGAGUGCCAGAAUGGACCCUUAUUUGAUAAGGUUUUGUUUGAUAAAUGUAUGGAUUACAUAAUAGCAUUGUCAUGCACUCCUCCAAGAGUUUAUCGUCAGAUUGCUUCCUUGAUGGGCCUUCAACUUGUAACAUCAUUCAUAACAGUUGCAAAAACACUUGGAGCACAGCGAGAAACUACUCAGAGGCAGCUUAAUGCUGAAAAGAAGAAACGAACUGAGGGACCUCGUCUGGAGUCGCUAAAUAAAAGGUUAUCGGCAACUCAUGAAAAGAUAGUUGUGCUAGAGGACAUGAUGCGCAAAAUNNNNNNGUUAUUUGUGCAUCGGUACCGAGAUAUUGAUCCUAACAUUCGAAUGUCAUGCAUAGAGUCACUUGGCGUGUGGAUUUUGUCAUAUCCAUCACUUUUCCUGCAAGAUUUAUACUUAAAGUACCUUGGAUGGACAUUGAAUGAUAAAAGUGCUGGUGUAAGAAAAGCAUCUAUCGUUGCAUUGCAAAAUCUUUAUGAUGUGGAUGAUAAUGUGCCCACUCUUACUCUAUUCACUGAACGAUUUUCCAACCGGAUG
rnacentral:misc_RNA from 1 species